ACACCAUAGAAAUGUCUAAAGUAUAAUAACAUCCAACCGUGGAUUAGGAUUUUAUCUUUACCUGAGCAGGCAUCACUUCUGCAUUUGUGCCACAGAUAUCAACUCCAGCAUACAGACAGGCUCUGUAAUGGGCCUCCACUAUAUCUCUGCCAUAGGCUUU